AACGAACGCUGGCGGCAGGCCUAACACAUGCAAGUCGAGCGAAGCCUUCGGGCUUAGCGGCGGACGGGUGAGUAACGCGUGGGAACGUGCCCUUUGGUACGGAAUAGCCCCGGGAAACUGGGAGUAAUACCGUAUGUGGUCGAGAGACGAAAGAUUUAUCGCCAAAGGAUCGGCCCGCGUUGGAUUAGGUAGUUGGUGGGGUAAUGGCCUACCAAGCCGACGAUCCAUAGCUGGUUUGAGAGGAUAAUCAGCCACACUGGGACUGAGACACGGCCCAGACUCCUACGGGAGGCAGCAGUGGGGAAUUUUAGACAAUGGGGGAAACCCUGAUCUAGCCAUGCCGCGUGAUCGAUGAAGGCCUUAGGGUUGUAAAGAUCUUUCAGUGGGGAAGAUAAUGACUGUACCCACAGAAGAAGCCCCGGCUAACUCCGUGCCAGCCGCCGCGGUAACAC
rnacentral:rRNA from 1 species